rnacentral:rRNA from 1 species
GACGAACGCUGGCGGCGUGCCUAAUACAUGCAAGUCGAACGCUUCUUUCCUCCCGAGUGCUUGCUCUCAAUUGGGAAUAGGAGUGGGGGACGGGUGAGUAACGCGUGGGUAACCUACCCAUCAGAGGGGGAGAACACUUGGAGACAGGUGCUAAUACGGCAUAACAGUGUAUGCCGCAUGGCUUCAGAGUGAAAGGCGCUGUCGGGUGUGGUGGAUGGAUGGAUCGUCGGUGGAUUAGCUAGUUGGCGAGGUAACGGCUCACCAAGGCCACGAUGCAUAGCCGACCUGAGAGGGUGAUCGGCCACACUGGGACUGAGACACGGCCCAGACUCCUACGGGAGGCAGCAGUAGGGAAUAUUCGGCAAUGGACGAAAGUCUGACCGAGCAACGCCGCGUGAGUGAAGAAGGUUUUCGGAUCGUAAAACUCUGUUGUUAGAGAAGAACAACGACGUUAGUAACUGAACGUCCCCUGACGGUAUCUAACCAGAAAGCAACGGCUAACUACGUG